AUUGAACGCUGGCGGAAUGCUUUACACAUGCAAGUCGAAGGUAGAGGGGGCAACCCCUCGAGAGUGGCGAACGGGUGAGUAAUAUAUCGGAACGUGCCCAGUCGUGGGGGAUAACGUAGCGAAAGUUACGCUAAUACCGCAUACGAUCUACGGAUGAAAGCGGGGGAUCGCAAGACCUCGCGCGAUUGGAGCGGCCGAUAUCAGAUUAGGUAGUUGGUGGGGUAAAGGCUCACCAAGCCAACGAUCUGUAGCUGGUCUGAGAGGACGACCAGCCACACUGGAACUGAGACACGGUCCAGACUCCUACGGGAGGCAGCAGUGGGGAAUUUUGGACAAUGGACGCAAGUCUGAUCCGGCCAUUCCGCGUGCAGGAUGAAGGCCCUCGGGUUGUAAACUGCUUUUGUACGGAACGAAAAGGUUUCCAUUAAUACUGGGAGCUCAUGACGGUACCGUAAGAAUAAGCACCGGCUAACUACGUGCCAGCCGCCGCGGUAA
rnacentral:rRNA from 1 species